rnacentral:misc_RNA from 1 species
GAUGAAGAACGUAGCGAAAUGCGAUACUUGGUGUGAAUUGCAGAAUCCCGUGAACCAUCGAGUCUUUGAACGCAAGUUGCGCCCGAAGCCAUUAGGCCGAGGGCACGCCUGCCUGGGCGUCACACGUCGUUGCCCCCCCAUCUACUCCUUCGGGAUUGCGGGGGGCGGAUGAUGGCCCCCCGUGCGCCUUGUCGCGCGGUUGGCAUAAAUGCCAAGUCCUCGGCGACGCACGCCACGACAAUCGGUGGUUGCGAAACCUCGGUUGCCCGUCGUGUGCGGUCGUCGCGCAUCGAGGGCUCGAAAAAAUUGUCGGGCUCCGGCUCGGCUUUCAACGCGACCCCAGGUCAGGCGGGGUUACCCGCUGAAUUUAAGCAUAUCAAUAAGCGGAGGA